GAAAUGCGAUAAGUAAUGUGAAUUGCAGAAUUCAGUGAAUCAUCGAAUCUUUGAACGCACAUUGCGCCCGCCAGUAUUCUGGCGGGCAUGCCUGUUCGAGCGUCAUUUCAACCAUCAAGCCCCCGGGCUUGUGUUGGGGACCUGCGGCUGCCCGCAGGCCCUGAAAACCAGUGGCGGGCUCGCUGUAACACCGACGGUAGUAGCAAUCACCUCGCUCAGGGCGUGCUGCGGGUUCCGGCCGUUAAACAGCCUUACAAACCCAAGGUUGACCUCGGAUCAGGUAGGAAGACCCGCUGAACUUAAGC
rnacentral:misc_RNA from 1 species